UCGAACGGUAACAGGGAUUAGCUUGCUAAUUUGCUGACGAGUGGCGGACGGGUGAGUAAUGCUUGGGAAUUUGGCUCAUGGAGGGGGAUAACUACGGGAAACUGUAGCUAAUACCGCGUAAUAUCUUAGGAUUAAAGUGUGGGACCGCAAGGCCACAUGCCAUGAGAUGAGCCCAAGUGGGAUUAGGUAGUUGGUGGGGUAAAGGCCUACCAAGCCGACGAUCUCUAGCUGGUCUGAGAGGAUGAUCAGCCACACUGGAACUGAGACACGGUCCAGACUCCUACGGGAGGCAGCAGUGGGGAAUAUUGCACAAUGGGGGGGACCCUGAUGCAGCCAUGCCGCGUGAAUGAAGAAGGCCUUCGGGUUGUAAAGUUCUUUCGGUAGCGAGGAAGGUAUCAAAUUUAAUAGAUUUGGUAAUUGACGUUAACUACAGAA
rnacentral:rRNA from 1 species